ACUACUUGCGACACAAUGGGAGUUGACCACACCUAAAGUCGUUACCUUAACAAGAAGGACGAGGAUGUUGAAGGUGGGGCUAGUGACUGGAAUGAAGUCGUAACAAGGUAGCCACAUUGGAAAGUGCGGCUA
rfam:Helianthus annuus linkage group 17, whole genome shotgun sequence.